UAGAAUCCUAAUGUGUGCAUUAAAAAUGCAUAUUUAAUAUUCAUCAAAAUGAUCGAAUACAAACCAAACUAUUUACCAAAAUAUGAAUUUCAGUAUUAAUAUACUCCGCUGCUUUGAAUUACCGUAGACUCGUAUUUUCCGAGAAUCUGACGAACACUAGCCAAGAGGGCAACGAACAAUAAAGGGAGGAAAUAUUGCUGAUCUUUCGUCGCAUGUGCACCGCAACACCCUAUGACGGAAGUGAAUAAAACCGGAAGACGCAUUGACCAUUGACCAAUGACGAAGUAGAACUUUAUUUGACAGUUGUAAUUAGUAUCAAGUUUUGAAUUUCAAAUUCACGUAAACAAUAAAAACAACUGUAAAUGUAAAAUAUCAUUUAAAAAUGUAAAAUAUUAUUUGAAACAUGGAGAGAUUUAAUUUAAAACGGCAUGCGAUGAAUAUCGUUGGAAAAAUUUGGAGUGGAGGAAAAAUUUUUAAAAUUUCGAAUAGACAAACAUAUAUUUGUAUCUAGGUAACUUAGUAAAGUAAUUCAUUCAGCAAUCCUCAGUAAAUAUUUACUUUAACCGUUUGGCAAUUGAAUUGUCUUAUUUUGUUCAUAUCUUACAUUUUUAUGGAAUUCUCAUAUUAGUCUUGAUGUUAGUUUUUCAUAAUGGAAAUAAUUCAAAUUUGAAUCAACUGAUGCAUCAACACGAAAAAAUACGUCACUUCCAAUUUACCAGCCAGUGCCAUCGCUGAAAUUUCAUAGCAAAAGAUAGGGAAAACGCCGUUCGAAAGGUGAAAAUCGCUUUUUUUAAAAAAUGAGGUACCCAUUAUUGUAGAAUAAUGGUAAGCGAUCACUCUUAUUGAUUUCCUUUUAUUACAAGUGUUAACAUAACAUUUUAUUUUGAAAAAGUUUGUUUUUUCCCUAUAUACUCCUCAUUAAAAUCGUGAAAUGCACUGGCUGGGAAUUCCAAACGCUCAUGUAUAAAUAACAAAGCAGCGAAUGAUAUAAAUUCCUCAAAAUAUAACUCUUGCAUAAAAAAUGAAUACUUCUGUAAUAUGUAUAGUUUUAUUCCUCUGCAUUACCACAACUUAAUAAAAUAGUGAAUUAACAUAAUUUUACAUAGUUAAUAGACUUAAUAUAUCGGCGUGACAUAAUUUGCCGCGAGUUUCCUCUCUGUACAUCUCUUCUCUGUGGUAAGACGGUGUUUCUCUUGUUUUACUAGACAAACUCGACUCCUCUGCUCCCUGUGAUACUCAGAGCUGGAAUGCGCUGUAAUGACAUUGAGCCCGUAGUGUCAAAAUGGCGGCUUGCACAGCGGGUCAUAUCGAGGUUUUUCUUCAGUGUUUGCAAGUUCUCUAAAUUAUGUAAUUGAUAAUUUCAAAGAUGAAACAUGUGAAAGCAGUGACAGAAGAACAAAAGAAAACAAUCUUUUUUUAUCGGGCCAAGAUACAU